rnacentral:rRNA from 1 species
AUUGAACGCUGGCGGCAGGCCUAACACAUGCAAGUCGAGCGGAUGAAGUUAGCUUGCUCCUGGAUUCAGCGGCGGACGGGUGAGUAAUGCCUAGGAAUCUGCCUGGUAGUUGGGGAUAACGUCCGGAAACGGGCGCUAAUACCUCAUACGUCCUGAGGGAGAAAGUGGGGGAUCUUCGGACCUCACUCUAUCAGAUGAGCCUAGGUCGGAUUAGCUAGUUGGUGGGGUAAAGGCCUACCAAGGCGACGAUCCGUAACUGGUCUGAGAGGAUGAUCAGUCACACUGGAACUGAGACACGGUCCAGACUCCUACGGGAGGCAGCAGUAGGGAAUAUUGGACAAAGGGCGAAAGCCUGAUCCAGCCAUGCCGCGUGUGUGAAGAAGGUCUUCGGAUUGUAAAGCACUUUAAGUUGGGAGGAAGGGGAGUAAGUUAAUACCUUGAUGUUUUGACGUUACCAACAGAAUAAGCACCGGCUAACUUCGUG